UGUCAUCCCUGCUCCUACUCCGGGCUGCGGGGUCAGUGCGGAUAUUCAGUCAUGAAGUCAAGGUAGGGACUUCUCCUGCAACGUGGCCGGCAAGACUGUUUGUGUUGCGAGGGCUGGACUUCCAGGUGAUUUUACAACAAGAUGCUGCUCUCCACAGGGAUGCUUAUGUUGUCAGUCACACAAGUCUACACCAUCUUGACUGUCCAGCUCUUUGCAUUCUUAAACCUACUGCCUGUAGAAGCAGACAUUUUAGCAUAUAACUUUGAAAAUACAUCUCAGACAUUUGAUGACCUUCCUGCAAGAUUUGGUUAUAGACUUCCAGCUGAAGGUUUAAAGGGUUUUUUGAUUAACUCAAAACCAGAGAAUGCGUGUAAACCCAUAGUGCCUCCACCAGUAAAAGAUAAUUCAUCUGGCACUUUCAUUGUGUUAAUCAGAAGACUUGAGUAUAAUUUUGAUACAAAGAUUUUAAAUGCACAGAGAGCAGAAUACAAAGCAGCCAUAGUUCAUGAUGUUGAUUCUGUUGACCUCAUUAGCAUGGAAUCCAACGACAUUGAGGUACUAAAGACAACUGACAUUCCAUCUGUCUUUAUUGGUGAAUCAUCAGCUAAUUCUCUGAAAGAUGAAUUCACAUAUGAAAAAGGGGGCCACCUUAUCUUAAUUUCAGAAUUUAGUCUUCUCUUGGAAUGCUACCUAAUUGCCUUCCUUAUCAUAGUGGGCAUCUGUCUCAUCUUUAUAGUCAUUUUCAUAAAUUUUUUCCAGGAUAGACAUAGAGCUAGAAGAAACAGACUUCAUAAAGAUCAACUUAAGAAACUCCCUAUACAUAAAUUCAAGAAAGGAGAUGAGUAUGAUGUAUGUGCCAUUUGUUCAGAUGAGCAGGAAGAUGGAGACAAGCUCAGAAUCCUUCCCUGUUCCCAUGCUUAUCACUGCAAGUGUGUAGACCCUUGACUAACUAAAAACCAAAAAAACCUGUCCAGUGUGCAAGCAAAAAGUUCCUUCUCAAGGCAAUUCAGACUCUGACACAGAUGGUAGUCAAGAAUAAAAUGAAGUGACAGAACAUACUCCUUUAGUUAGACCUUUAGCUUCUGUCAGUGCCCAGUCAUUUGGGGCUUUGUCAGAAUCCCGCUCACAUCAGAAUAUGACCAAAUCUUUAGACUAUGAGGAAAAUGACAAUGAAGAUACCAACAGUAGUGAUGAAGAAAAUGAAACUAAUGAACAUAAUGUUGUGGUCCAGUUGCAGCCUAAUAGUGAAUGGGAUUACAACAUAGCAAAUACUGUUUGACUUUCAGAAGAUGAUUGGUUUAUUUCCCUUUAAAAUGUUUAGGUAUAUACUUUAGUUUGAUUUUUUUACUCCCUUCAAAGAUUUCCAUAGAAAUAACUUAUUUUUUAGUAUUCUACAAUUUAAUAAAAUUGCUGAAAAAGGACUUUUGAUCUGGUGUUUAUCUGCAAGAGUGUACUUCUUCACUAAUAAUAAUAGACUGGUGCUGUAACUUAAGCAUCAUUUCAGCUCUUCUUUUGGAGUGAAAGUAUAGCCAAAACA